GACGAACGCUGGCGGCGUGCCUAAUACGUGCAAGUCGAACGCACUCUCGUUUAGAUUGAAGGAGCUUGCUCCUGAUUGAUAAACAUUUGAGUGAGUGGCGGACGGGUGAGUAACACGUGGGUAACCUGCCCUAAAGUGGGGGAUAACAUUUGGAAACAGAUGCUAAUACCGCAUAAAACCUAACACCGCAUGGUGUAGGGUUGAAAGAUGGUUUCGGCUAUCACUUUAGGAUGGACCCGCGGUGCAUUAGUUAGUUGGUGAGGUAAAGGCUCACCAAGACCGUGAUGCAUAGCCGACCUGAGAGGGUAAUCGGCCACACUGGGACUGAGACACGGCCCAGACUCCUACGGGAGGCAGCAGUAGGGAAUCUUCCACAAUGGACGAAAGUCUGAUGGAGCAACGCCGCGUGAGUGAAGAAGGUUUUCGGAUCGUAAAACUCUGUUGUUGGAGAAGAAUGUAUCUGAUAGUAACUGAUCAGGUAGUGACGGUAUCCAACCAGAAAGCCAACGGCU
rnacentral:rRNA from 1 species